CACCCUUGGUCAUGGCAUUACACGGCAGAGAGGCGCUUCCUGGCCCCGUAAGGCGGGGCUUGGCCACGUGACUGGCUUUGGCCAAUGGGAUGUUACUAACCAUGCGGUACAGAGAUGCUUCACAUGCGCUUGCGUGCGCAGGCGUCUUUCCCGCUCAUCCGCCAUCAGCACCGGAAGAACGCACCCUGGACAGACGAAAGAACACCGUUAAGAAGGGAAGAUGCCAUGAAUUUGGACCCCUCGCAGGUGGGGGACCUUCGGCACAGCGACGCAUCUGAGAGGUGAGGAGACAAAAGAGGCAGACACCAUUUUCCCAGCUGUGGAUCUUAUUACUCAGGCGACUGCUUGUUGGACUGCCUGAACACCCUGUCCUGCCCUCACAGGGCCUUGGAGAUGAAAAAGACUGCUAGCGGCAACGUGGAAGGACCUAGAGACGAUCAUACUAAGUGAACAGCUCGCCCUGUAUAUCCUCCGAGGGGAGACGAUUGCUCUCCCGCAUCAGCACAAAAGCCCGGCACGGCCGCUUGUCACCGGAAAACUGCCCCCCGGCCCUCACCUGACCACCGCGCCCCCCGCCGUGGCCACUGUCGCGCACGGAACACCCGCGUCUCCAGCCCUGGUGCCUCCGGUUCACAGCGGACGAUUUCUUCCUCUCGUGUUUUCUUCAGACGGCAUUCGGAAAGCCACCAUUUUAAAGCGGAAUUGCAUACUGAUUUUUCUCACAGCUACUUCACGGGUUUCAGUCUCCCCUCUGAAAACCUCUAAAGGGCUCCCACCGGGUAAGGAGGACCUGUGAGCCCUCUCUGUGGCCUGGCCUGCUUUCUUCAAGUCCCAGAAACUUUCAAGGCUUCUUGUAACUAAUUUUCCAAACUGCUCCUACUCUCCAUCGGAUGAUGUCAAGGUGGUUUCAAGAACACUGAUAAAUAUGUGAGCAGCGCGCCUUGGCUGCUAACUAAAUUCUCUCUUAAUCACAAAGCGAAAGACCAAAUCGAUAUAAUUUCUAGGGAGAAUAAAACAGACCGUGAAAGGUUAGUGUUCAGCCUUGCUUAGAAACGGAGGCAAUUAUUUUCCUUCUGUAUUGUCUGUGCAAGAACGCAUGUGUGGCUGUGGUCUCGGGUGCCCAUCGCCGUACCCCUCGAGGGGACCCCGAGAGCAGUUCCGGAAACCCCCCAAGCCACACCA